GGCUCGAUGGCGGAUGAUCCGCGCCUGCAUCAUAUAUACGUCUGGAAUGCGAAGUGUGCAGGAGAUGUCCGUUCGAUUCGGGCUCGAGCCA